rnacentral:lncRNA from 1 species
UUCAAAAACCUGGCAAAGAAGAUGAACAUGUGGUUCCGGCAGCUUAUUGAAACUUACCACCACACAUAAAUCCAAUGCCCUUAUUUGUUCAUGUGUGUCAUUACUGUCAAAGACGUGGCCAUAUCAGACAAGAUGCAGAUUCCUUAUUGUUGAUCGAAAGGCAAAUUUCAAAAGUUCAAGGAGAUCAAACUUUAAAAAUCACAGAAGUUGUGUUGUCAUACUUCACUUUGGUCAGGUUCUCAAGAAAAGUGGUAUCUUGAUACGGAUGUUCUAAACACUUGACAUGAAACCGAAAAUUCUGACAGACAUUCAUUCGAUAAUUGAUGAGGGUGUGACUUUCAGUGAUGGUGUUCAACCAAAGGUUAUUGGUACUGGAACUCUACAUGUACCUGGUCUUGCACGGUUGGAAAAUGUUAUGCUGGUAGAAGGAUUGAAGGCUAAUCUCAUUAGUAUCAGCAAACUUUGUGAAAAUAAUAUGAAUGUCUCGUUUGACAAGACUCAGUGUAUUGUUACGAAUGGAGAUACUGAGUUCAUUACUGGUAAACAUUCAAGCAACAAUUGUUAUGUGGUGAUUCCAGAUGUCACCUGUUUUCAAGCACACAACACUCAGAUUAUAACAUGGCAUCAGCGUCUUGGCCCUACCAGUUAUAGCAACAUGAAGAAACUCUUACAGACUCAAGUUGUUCGUGGUCUGCCAAGUUUGAAAAUUAACUCCAAGGAUGUUUGUAGCCCAUGUCAAAUUGGUAAACAGACUCACUCCAGUCACAAAAAGGUUACCAAGAUAACUACCUCUCGGGUUCUAGAACUGAUUCAUAUGGAUUUGAUAGGUCCGAUGCAAGUUGAGAGCCUGGGCAGAAAACGUUAUGUUUUUGUUUGCGUUGACGACUUCUCUCGCUUUACAUGGGUGGAGUUCUUGCAAGAUAAGUCUGAAACCUUUGAUAAAUUUCGUACUUUAUGUCAUACACUUGAGAUUGAUAAAGAGUUGCCCAUCAAACGAAUUCGUAGUGAUCAUGGCAGAGAAUUUGAGAAUUUCGAAUUUGAUACCUUUUGUGCUAACAAAGGAAUUAUCCAUGAGUACUAUGCUCCUAAAACAUUACAAUAGAACGGAGUCGUUGAGAUGAAAAAUUGUACUUUACAAGAUAUGGUGAGAACGAUGAUGAAAGCCAAAGCGGUGACAACUAAUCUUUGGGCUGAAGCCACGAAUACGACAUGUUAUAUCAUAAAUAGAGUUUAUCUCAAGCCCAAACCGAUACUACUCCCUAUGAAAUCUUGAAAUGAAUGAAUCCCAACAUCAAGCACGUCCAUACCUUCAGAUGCACAUGUUAUAUACUUAAUGAUCGGGAGCAGAAACAAAAGUUGGAUGACGAAGCUCUGAAGCUAUCUUUCUUGGAUAUACCAAGUUAGGUCAUAGUUUUCGUGUUCUGAACAAAGUCACUCAUACUAUUCAAGAAUCAACAAACAGUGUUGCCAAAGCCAUCGUCAAGACCUCGGACAAAAUAAAUUUGUAUUUUCCUAUGCCAACAGCUAAGUUCCGCUAGCAGUAAGUAUAGGGUCGAUCUCACGAGGAGUUGGUGUAUUCUUCUCUCUUGUCACAAAUGUCACUAUCGAUCACUUGGGUUGGGCUCUGGUCAGAGCGUUGAGCAGCUUUGGUCAGAGCCCUGAGAACAAAGAACCUGAAAUAAAACAAAAGAAAAAGCAAAAAUAAAAGCAACUUGGUUCUUGCAUAGUCUCGUCAAGUCUGGGCACAGUCAUCGCUCACAGGUUCAAGGAUAUUCGCUAUGCCCAUGUAUCAUUGGUUAUAGGCCGUUUGAUCAGUGAGAUGUGCCCCCAUUGUCACGGUGUCACGUGCACAAGCUCACCAGUCCUCAUCCACGCCCUUCAUAUUAGGUGGAGGUGUACUCCCCUCCUCCCUCUACCCUGGUAGAUUCCCUUUAUGAAGUUGUAGUUGUGUGGGUAUGCCCAGAACACAUUAUGGCUUAGCGGACCCAAAUGGUCAUAGGCAUGCCAAAGGCAUACUACCACCGCUUGCAUCAACCACACGAAGAUUGAGUCAUAGAAGAUUAUUUGGCGUUUUACUAGUUUUGAGAUUUUGGAAAAUUAUAGAGGCAUAGAAGAUUGAGUCUUAUGUAAGUCCUGAUGUAAUUUAAUCUCUCAUAGUGAUUCAUUUUUCCUAGACAAGGCCCCCCAGACGUAGGUGUUCUAUCACCGAACUGGGUUACCACUUUGUGUGUUUGUUCAUGUUACUGGUUUUUUGUUACUUGUCGUGUUACAGUAUCUCGCUAAGUACAAACUCUGGUAUUUUGCGAGAUUUUUAUGUGUAAUUAGAUAUGUAGGUUUUUCCUGGGAUAUUCGUGACAACAUGCGAACCAUUAAAAUUAUUGCAUCUGCUACACAAAUUAAUGCAUCCGCUAUUAAAUUUACUGCAUUCAAAAAAAUAAAAUAUUUACUCCAUUCAGGAUACGAACCCAGGUUCUGCAUUCAUCAACGAAGAUGAUGCAUCGACCGUAGAUCUUAAUGAUCAAAUGACUUAAGAUGGUUCUCCAUUCUUAUUUUAUUUAUUGGUUCUUAUUUGAACAUCUCCCUAUAUAUAUAUAUUUUAUAUAUAUAGGGAUCAUGAAGAUCUACGGUUGAUUUGUAACCCUGUUGGAUGAAUUCGUGGUCCUGAGUUCGAAUCCUAAAUGUAGCAUAAAUUUUUUUUUCACAAUUCGUAACAUUGUUAGAUGAAUUCAUACGUGCUCUACAUAAAAUUCGUACAUUGAAAAAUAUUUUUAUUUUAAGAAUUGUUUUCACGAUAGCCCUUCCCUGUAUAUAUAUAUAUACACCUAUAUAGGAAAUGGUUCCAAUGAGAUCCCUCAUAUAUGGUGAUAUGUUAGAUUGAUUUGUGAGUGUUGAUUUAAUGUAUCUUAUGGUUGAUAUUUACCCGGAGGAGAUUUUUUUUUACUUGAGUUCGAAUCUUAGAAGGAGCGAAAACUUUAUUCAUUUAUUGAAUAUUGUUAUUCAAUACUAUAUAUUGUGAUCUUAUUCAUCAUUAUAAACUAGCUUAUUCAAUAGUCUCACAUUUCACGAAAAAUAAAUAACAAUCUCACUGAAACCUAACUAUAUAUAUAUAUAUAUAUAUAUANUAAAAUCCAUUUGAGCUGCUUCUAACAUAAAUUAAAUAAAUCGCAUAUGCUACACUUUAACAAUCAAUUAAAAGAUCUAUAAUUAACACUUCAAUGUUAAAUAAUCAAUAAUAAAUUAAUGGAUUCAAAAUAUAUUUUGAGUGCAUCGUCCACUGAAAAUAAAAAUAAAAAUAAAUCAUCACGUAUAUAAAUCAUCAAAUUCAUAUAAGUUCGUAUUUUAUUAAUGGAUGCUGAACCCUAAUUACCAUAAUCAAUCCUUAAAUCAGUAAUUAAAAGUAUAUAAUCCUUAAUAAAAAGUCGGGUCAUUACAUGCAUCCACCGUAGAUCUUGAUGAUCGAAUGGCUUAAAAUGGUUCUCCGUUCUAAUUUUAUUUAGUGGUUCUUAUUUGAACCUCUCCCUAUAUAUAUAUAUAAAAUAGAGGGAAUUAGAAUUAAAUAAAGAUCUUAUUUAACAUAAAAACUACAAAUGAUCACUUGCAAUUAAUUAAUUAAUUAAUAAACUCUGAGUAGGUCUUGGGUGAGACCAGCCUCUAACAAUAGACGAGUUUGACAUGACCCUCCACGUGGCAGGAGAUGAGUGGUCGAGGGCGGGGACACGAAGAUGAGGGGGCGUGAGCUUGGAUCUGAGGGAGCGCCGACGGGUGGCUGAAAGAGCAGCAGCAAGGGCACGGUAUAGGUGGCACUCCGGCUGGAAAGAUAGGCGGCAUAUGCGCGGGGCAGGAGUCUGCCGACUGGAAGGAGAGGUGCACGGGUACGGGGCUUGGGAUACGCCAAUGGGAAGGUAAGGCGGCACAGUCAUGGCGAUGGGUGCGAUGUUGGUGUGAAUGCCGGAGGCAAAGAAUUUGUACUUAUUUGGUCAUGGUAACUAUUGUCGUAAUAAAAAGUAAUUAUUAAUAAAGAAAUGUAAUGUUUCAAAAUAUGAAUACUUUUGAGUAACUAUUUUUGUGAUGAAAAGUAAUAAUAGACAUGAGGAAAGGUAAAUGUUACUUAUUUUAGAACAAUUGUUACUCUUAUUCACGAUAAAUUGUACUUUUAAGGUCUGUUUGAUAUGUGUUUAUAGGUAGGAUAAAUUAAAUUAAUACAUAUUAGUGUGAUGUUUGAUAUCAUGUGCAGUUAAUAUGGUCAACUCCUACUUAAUCCCACUUCUCCAUGCUAUUUUGUGGGAAUAACCCAUACUAAUAAUCCACCCCUCCCCCCUUGGAUAACUUUAAUACUGCGAAGUUGGAUAAAAAUUCUGCUACCCUUCCUCACGCAUAUCGAUGCAAAUGCCCAAGUAAUGGUGGACACACAUGGUAUUUUUAAAAUUAUAUGAGCAUAGUUUUGGUAUUAGAUAAUAUAAUCCAACAUAAUCCUAUGGAUAUCAAACAUAAUAUAGGAUUAAGUAGCCAUGAUAUCAAACACCCAUAAAAUAGUAUAAAUCCACACUAAUCCACACUAAUUUUUCAAGAUAAUUUUAAUCCUAAUCAAUCCUAAACUGCAAAUCAAGCGGACCAUUACUGAGUACCCGACCCGCACUCUGCCCUUAUCCGACUCACGCCCUGCCCCUACCCGACAUGUGCCCCGCCCUUACUCAAAUCCAUUUUAUAUAUGAGAUCGGGUAUACAAGAGUUUUUGCGAUAAACUAUAUAUGUAGCAACCCGCUCUUUUAUCCAAUAAUGCGUGGUUAUUAAUCUCUGUUUAGUGAAUGAAAUACUUUUCAUUGCUAUAUGAAUUCAGUUAUGACUCUGAAUGAUUUUUUUAUUGAAGGCAAGGUUUAUCUGAGCUUAUGCAUUUUUUUUAAUUUCGCGUGUUUUCAGACCGCGACGUGAAACUUCUAGUCGAUGAAUAUUAAUUAUUCAAAGAUAUAACUGACUUAGCGAAGCCAUGUUAUUUAUGUGAUCGAGAUGGAUUUCUAAUCCUAAUUUUUAGUCAUAAUUACGGAAGUCGUGUAUUAUUUUUUUGUUCCGACUUAUUAAGUAAAUUAAAUCUAUGGAUUUAAUUUAAUUAUUAGAACGACCACUUUCGACUACGAAGGAACGAUGUUAGCAAGACACGAAACCAGUAUUUCAAAUACAGGACGACCAACACUGAAAGAUUUUAUUUAGUCACACAACAAUCAUUCCAAUAGUAAAACUUCCUACCUCUAACUUGUCUGGCAACACCCAAAGAUUUAGGAAAAGAAAGGAAGAGGGAUAAAAAGAAAAAGGAGGAGAAACGUGUAGCAGCCCUCUCCCCUAUUUCCCCCUCUCUGCGGCUGGAGCAGGCCAACUCCCUCUUCCUUUGCAAGUCACCGUCCCAUCCCCACUUUCUGUAGCAGCAGUAAGCCAUACCCAAGUACACCUAACAAGUCAAUCAGCCACCCUAGACUGUACCUCUUCGCAUGUACACAAGCUUCCAGCCAAACCCUUUUUGUUAUUCAAACCCUUCAUUCUUCAUUUGAGGACUUCACGAAUGGAAGGGAGCCUUUAAUUCGUUUCUGCCAAGUAUUCUCAAGGUAAGCUUGGCUUCAAUGCUCUGCAUCCUUCCAUGAUUCCACCUGCAUUAAUGCAAGAACAAUUUUAUUAUUUCAGCUCCACCUGCUGCUUCGUUUAAUUCAACUGCAACCUCCAACCAAAGCAAACUCUCAAGGUAACCAUCAAAUCCUAGUUCACUAUCUCCUUGUACAUGCUUCACACAUCAUCAAACCAUGAUCUUUAAACGCUACUAGUGGAAGAUGAGCAUGAUUAAUUAGUUACAUGGCACUCUGUAGCAUCAUUAGACUUCACAAGCGAGUAGAGAAAGGAACACCUGAACUCAUAGAACAAAUACAACCAUAGCAUACUCAUACACAUAAAGUAUUAAGUUCUAUUUUUCUUACGCAAAAAGGGUCCAUAGGCAUUUAUACCAUAUCGUUGUAUAAGAAUCAAGGCAGAAGUAUAACUUAGCUUUUAGGAAGGCGUCGAAAUCGGCCCAGUUCAGUCGAGCCAAGACGACAACGACGACGGUAGCUCUUGCUGCCUCGGUGAUAUUCCAAAACGCCAAUAGUGGCAUCGCGUAUGGAGCAGCAGGCGUUCGCCGGUCUCUCGAUGGCAGCGGCGCGACAACGGAGAUCCCCUCGGCAUUGAAACUCGGAGAAACACUGGAAAUGGCGGACUCCCCUACUCGCCAUUAACUGAACAACAGCCACGGAGGAGUGCUCGCCGACUGAUAGAAGGACGGCGGACAGUGAGAGGCGGCCACAUUCACUGGCGGUGACCGUUCGCCGGUCACCCAUUUGAAACCACGGCGGCGACGAUUUCAACUUUGGGAGGAGCUAGGGCUCAUCAUGAUUCGCCUUUUUCAGUUAUUGAUUGAAGGAGUGCAGCGCCGAGAGUUAAAGGAGGAGAUGUCGUUCGCCGGAACGACAGAAGCGACGGCAGCAGAUCUUCGACGGCUAGGGCUCGGCUUGGCGAUUCACGAGUGGAGAACUCGAGAAGGAAAUAAAAGAGGAUGUGGUGUCGACAAUAAACGAGCGCCGGCCUCGGCACAGAAACGGACAAGGCGCUCGCCGAAGGAGGAGCGGCACCGACGAGAUUUGGGAAGAGAGGCGACUGAUUU